AUGUUUACUGUGGGCUUAGACGUUGAUACUCGUGCCUACUUCACCGCAGGUACCAUGAUCAUAGCUGUGCCCAUAGGAAUCAAAAUCUUUAGUUGGAUUGGUACCAUGUGGGGAGGUUCGAUACAAUACAAAACACCCAUGCUAUUUGCUCUAGGGUUCAUCUUUUUGUUCACCAUAGGAGGGCUCACUGGAAUAGUUCUAGCAAACUCUGGGCUAGACAUUGCUCUACAUGAUACUUAUUAUGUGGUUGCACAUUUCCAUUAUGUACUUUCUAUGGGAGUCAUUUUUGCUUUAUUGCUGGAUUUUACUAUUGGGUGGGUAAAAUCUUUGGUCGGACAUAUCCUGAAACUUUAG
rnacentral:rRNA from 1 species